rnacentral:rRNA from 1 species
AUUGAACGCUGGCGGCAUGCUUUACACAUGCAAGUCGAACGGUAACAGGCCGCAAGGUGCUGACGAGUGGCGAACGGGUGCGUAAUGCAUCGGAACGUGCCCAGUCGUGGGGGAUAACUACUCGAAAGAGUAGCUAAUACCGCAUACGAUCUAUGGAUGAAAGCGGGGGACCGUAAGGCCUCGCGCGAUUUGAGCGGCCGAUGUCAGAUUAGGUAGAUGGUGGGGUAAAGGCUCACCAAGCCAACGAUCUGUAGCUGGUCUGAGAGGACGACCAGCCACACUGGGACUGAGACACGGCCCAGACUCCUACGGGAGGCAGCAGUGGGGAAUUUUGGACAAUGGGCGCAAGCCUGAUCCAGCAAUGCCGCGUGCAGGAAGAAGGCCUUCGGGUUGUAAACUGCUUUUGUACGGAACGAAACGGCUCUGGUUAAUACCCGGGGCUAAUGACGGUACCGUAAGAAUAAGCACCGGCUAACUACGUG